UACGGAGGGUGCGAGCGUUGUCCGGAAUCACUGGGCGUAAAGGGCGCGUAGGCGGCAUGCCAAGCGUGUGGUGAAAGCCCGGGGCUCAACCCCGGGUCGGCCGUGCGGACUGGCGUGCUCGAGCACUGUAGGGGCGGGUGGAAUUCCGGGUGUAGCGGUGGGAUGCGUAGAGAUCCGGAAGAACACCGGUGGCGAAGGCGGCCCGCUGGGCAGGAAGGCUCGCAAGAGCCGGCUGACGCUGAGGCGCGACAGCGUGGGGAGCAAACAGG
rnacentral:rRNA from 1 species